rnacentral:rRNA from 1 species
UAAGUGCCUAAGGGCGCAUGGUGGAUGCCUUGGCAUCGAGAGCCGAUGAAGGACGUGGGAGGCUGCGAUAUGCCUCGGGGAGCUGUCAACCGAGCGUGGAUCCGAGGAUUUCCGAAUGGGGAAACCCAACACGAGUCAUGUCGUGUUACCCGUAUCUGAAUAUAUAGGGUUCGGGAGGGAACGCGGGGAAGUGAAACAUCUCAGUACCCGUAGGAGAAGAAAACAAUUGUGAUUCCGCAAGUAGUGGCGAGCGAACGUGGAAUAUGGCUAAACCGCACACAUGUCUAACUAGGUAGGGGUUGUGUGUGCGGUGUUGUGGGAUUGGUAUGUCUCAACUCUACCUGGUUGAGGGGUAGUCAGAAAGUGCCGUGGUUAGCGGAAAUGGCCUGGGAUGGCCUGCCGUAGACGGUGAGAGCCCAGUACGCGAAAGCCUGGCACCUGCCUUGUAUCAAUUCCCGAGUAGCAGCGGGCCCGUGGAAUCUGCUGUGAAUCUGCCGGGACCACCCGGUAAGCCUAAAUACUUCUCGAUGACCGAUAGCGGAUCAGUACCGUGAGGGAAUGGUGAAAAGUACCCCGGGAGGGGAGUGAAAUAGUACCUGAAACCGUGUGCCUACAAUCCGUCAGAGCCUCUUUGUGGGGUGAUGGCGUGCUUUUUGAAGAAUGAGCCUGCGAGUCAGGGACAUGUCGCGAGGUUAACCCGUGUGGGGUAGCCGCAGCGAAAGCGAGUCUGAAUAGGGCGUAUCACGUGUGAGCGUGUGUAGUGGCGUGUUCUGGACCCGAAGCGGAGUGAUCUACCCAUGGCCAGGGUGAAGCGCGGGUAAGACCGCGUGGAGGCCCGAACCCACUUAAGUUGAAGAUUGAGGGGAUGAGUUGUGGGUAGGGGUGAAAGGCCAAUCAAACUCCGUGAUAGCUGGUUCUCCCCGAAAUGCAUUUAGGUGCAGCGUUGCGUGGUUCACCACGGAGGUAGAGCUACUGGAUGGCCGAUGGGCCCUACUAGGUUACUGACGUCAGCCAAACUCCGAAUGCCGUGGUUUAAAAGCGUGGCAGUGAGACGGCGGGGGAUAAGCUCCGUACGUCGAAAGGGAAACAGCCCAGAUCGCCGGCUAAGGCCCCUAAGCGUGUGCUAAGUGGAAAAGGAUGUGCAGUCGCAAAGACAACCAGGAGGUUGGCUUAGAAGCAGCCACCCUUGAAAGAGUGCGUAAUAGCUCACUGGUCAAGUGAUUGUGCGCCGAUAAUGUAGCGGGGCUCAAGCACACCGCCGAAGCCGCGGCACAUUCACCUUCUAGGGUGGAUGUGGGUAGGGGAGCGUUCCUCAUUCAGCGAAGCCUCCGGGUAACCGGUGGUGGAGGGUGGGGAAGUGAGAAUGCAGGCAUGAGUAGCGAUAAGGCAAGUGAGAACCUUGCCCGCCGUAAGACCAAGGGUUCCUGGGCCAGGCCAGUCCGCCCAGGGUGAGUCGGGACCUAAGGCGAGGCCGACAGGCGUAGUCGAUGGACAACGGGUUGAUAUUCCCGUACCCGUGUGUGUGCGCCCGUGAUGAAUCAGCGGUACUCACCGGAACUUCGUUGGUAGUAGUCAAGCGAUGGGGUGACGCAGGAAGGUAGCCGUACCAGUCAGUGGUAAUACUGGAGCAAGCCCGUAGGGAGAGCGAUAGGCAAAUCCGUCGUUCGUGAAUCCUGAGAGGUGAUGCAUAGCCGAUUGAGGCGAAUUCGGUAAGCCUCUGCUGCCAAGAAAAGCCUCUAGCGAGCAUACAUGCGGCCCGUACCCCAAACCGACACAGGUGGUCAGGUAGAGCAUACCAAGGCGUACGAGAUAACUAUGGUUAAGGAACUCGGCAAAAUGCCUCCGUAACUUCGGGAGAAGGGGGGCCGGAAUAUCGUGAACACCCUUGCGGUGGGAGCGGGAUCCGGUCGCAGAGACCAGUGAGAAGCGACUGUUUACUAAAAACACAGGUCCGUGCGAAGUCGUAAGACGAUGUAUACGGACUGACGCCUGCCCGGUGCUGGAAGGUUAAGAGGACCUGUUAACCCGAAAGGGUGAAGCGGAGAAUUUAAGCCCCAGUAAACGGCGGUGGUAACUAUAACCAUCCUAAGGUAGCGAAAUUCCUUGUCGGGUAAGUUCCGACCUGCACGAAUGGCGUAACGACUUCUCAACUGUCUCAACCAUAGACUCGGCGAAAUUGCACUACGAGUAAAGAUGCUCGUUACGUGCGGCAGGACGAAAAGACCCCGGGACCUUCACUACAACUUGGUAUUGAUGUUCGGUGCGGUUUGUGUAGGAUAGGUGGGAGACUGUGAAACUUCGACGCUAGUUGGGGUGGAGUCGUUGUUGAAAUACCACUCUGAUUGUAUUGAACAUCUAACCUCGAACCGUAUAUCCGGUUUAGGGACAGUGCCUGGCGGGUAGUUUAACUGGGGCGGUUGCCUCCUAAAAUGUAACGGAGGCGCCCAAAGGUUCCCUCAACCUGGUCGGUAAUCAGGUGGCGAGUGUAAAUGCACAAGGGGGCUUGACUGCGAGACCUACACGUCAAGCAGGGACGAAAGUCGGGAUUAGUGAUCCGGCACCUCUGAGUGGAAGGGGUGUCGCUCAACGGAUAAAAGGUACCCCGGGGAUAACAGGCUGAUCUUCCCCAAGAGUCCAUAUCGACGGGAUGGUUUGGCACCUCGAUGUCGGCUCGUCGCAUCCUGGGGCUGAAGCAGGUCCCAAGGGUUGGGCUGUUCGCCCAUUAAAGCGGCACGCGAGCUGGGUUUAGAACGUCGUGAGACAGUUCGGUCUCUAUCCGCCGCGCGCGUCAGAAACUUGAGGAAAUCUGUCCCUAGUACGAGAGGACCGGGACGGACGAACCUCUGGUAUACCAGUUGUCUCACCAGGGGCACCGCUGGAUAGCCACGUUCGGACAAGAUAACCGCUGAAAGCAUCUAAGCGGGAAACCUUCUCCAAGAUCAGGUUUCUUACCCACUUGGUGGGAUAAGGCCCCCCGCAGAACACGGGAUUGAUAGGUCAGACCUAGAAGCUCAGUAAUGAGUGUAGGGAACUGGCACUAACUGGCCGAAAGCUUAC